rnacentral:rRNA from 1 species
UUAUUCCUACGGGGCGCAGCGGUGGGGAAUAUUGGGCGAUGGGCGCAAGCCUGACCCAGCAACGCCGCGUGAAGGAAGAAGGCUUUCGGGUUGUAAACUUCUUUUCUCAGGGACGAGGCAAGUGACGGUACCUGAGGAAUAAGCCACGGCUAACUACGUGCCAGCAGCCGCGGUAAUACGUAGGUGGCAAGCGUUAUCCGGAUUUACUGGGUGUAAAGGGCGUGUAGGCGGGAAAGCAAGUCAGAUGUGAAAACCAUGGGCUCAACCUGUGGCCUGCAUUCGAAACUGUUUUUCUUGAGUACUGG